GACGAACGCUGGCGGCGUGCUUAACACAUGCAAGUCGAACGGAAAGGCCCUGCUUUUGUGGGGUGCUCGAGUGGCGAACGGGUGAGUAACACGUGAGUAACCUGCCCUUGACUUUGGGAUAACUUCAGGAAACUGGGGUUAAUACCGGAUAGGAGCUCCUGCUGCAUGGUGGGGGUUGGAAAUUUUCGGCGGUUGGGGAUGGACUCGCGGCUUAUCAGCUUGUUGGUGGGGUAGUGGCUUACCAAGGCUUUGACGGGUAGCCGGCCUGAGAGGGUGACCGGCCACAUUAGGGCUGAGAUACGGCCCAGACUCCUACGGGAAGCAGCAGUGGGGAAUAUUGCACAAUGGGCGGAAGCCUGAUGCAGCAACGCCGCGGGCGGGAUGACGGCCUUCGGGUUGUAAACCGCUUUCGCCUGUGACGAAGCGUGAGUGACGGUAAUGGGUAAAGAAGCACCGGCUAACUACGUG
rnacentral:rRNA from 1 species